rnacentral:rRNA from 1 species
AUUGAACGCUGGCGGCAGGCCUAACACAUGCAAGUCGAACGAGUGGCGGACGGGUGAGUAAUGUCUGGGAAACUGCCUGAUGGAGGGGGAUAACUACUGGAAACGGUAGCUAAUACCGCAUACCAUCGGAUGUGCCCAGAUGGGAUUAGCUAGUAGGUGGGGUAAAGGCGCACCUGGGCGACGAGCCCUAGCUGGUCUGAGAGGAUGACCAGCCACACUGGAACUGAGACACGGUCCAGACUCCUACGGGAGGCAGCAGGGGGGAAUAGUGCACAAUGGGCGCAAGCCUGAUGCAGCCAUGCCGCGGGUAUGAAGAAGGCCUUCGGGUUGUAAAGGACUUGCAGCGGGGAGGCGUUACCCGCAGAAGAAGCACCGGCUAAAUCAGUGCCAGCAGCCGCGGUAAUAC